rnacentral:lncRNA from 1 species
AUCAUAGUUUAAUUGGUCUCUCCUGGUCUGUGUUGGUACAGGUGUGAUGCAAAUAAAACAUAUAUGUGCAAUGGAAGUGAUUGGAAUUAUGGUCAACUGACAGGAGCCAUCAACCUUUCAGUGCUCGAAUCGCUGGUUUAUUGGAUAAGACAGGACAAUUACCACAACUGGCCUGUCAAGAUGGUUAGAGCUCCCUACAGGCAUUGAGGCAGGUGUUUGUGCCUUCAGUUUAAUCUCUUCCUUUCUGGUUCCAGGCUGGAUGCAGCUCUUGGCGCCAGCAGAAGUGUUUAUACAGAAAUGAGGGUCACCUGGAUGCCCAGCCCAGUGGAUCUGUGUGCUCAUUGCCAAACAAGGCAUGAGCUCCCUGUAAUGCAAGCUCGAUUUCUCUGGGGUAAAGGUAAUCUGACUUGCAGUCUUUUUUGGAUCAUCUGUAUGUUUGAUUUAGUAGAGUUGUAGAAAUUGAGAAUGCUUUUCAUUAGCUCCAAUGGACCUCCUAGAACCUAUGCUGUUCAAUCUCUCAUUUUACAACUGAGGAUUCAGGGUCUCAGAGAGGUUAAGUGGGUGCCCCAAGCAUGGCCAAUCAGCAGGGAGCCAGGACGAGGUUUUAGGGCUUCUCAGCCGGUGCUGAUUACGUGACCCACAGCUGCUGUUUUGAACCUGUUUUCAUUACCUGUCAGCUCCUGUUUAUAGGAGUUGAAGCUUCAACAGCCUCUAGAGAUUGGAGAAGCAAAACAGCUCCAGAAGAAGUUGUGAAUAACUGUUUACUUCUUUAAUGCCUCUUUGUCUUUCUGCAAGGAUUUGUGUAUCUCAUCUCAAAGCAUGUUAUUCCAUGCGUUUCUUGCUUAAAGUUGUUUGAGACCUUUGACAAUUCUGCCAUUCUAGUUCAUAUAUUAUGAUUGAUCAUUACAGUUUUAUUUCAUGGACAACAUGUUUGGUAGUAUUAUUAUUCAUAUUCUUAGAGGUACCAAAACUAGGUUUGAGGACUAUCUUAAUAACUUUCCUAAGGUCACUUAGGCAUGGCAGAGCUGGGCUUUGAACAUGAGACUGGCCUCCACCAAACCUGUGCUGUUGACCUCAUCAUACAUGAUCCUGCAGAGCACCGAGUAUUUCUUUUUAAAAAAAAUUUUUUUAAUGUUUUUAUUUAUUUUUGACGAGGAGAGAAAGAGAGAGAGAGAGAGAGAGAGAGAGAGAGAGAGAGAAUGAGUAGGGGAGGGGCAGAGAGAGAGGGAGCCAGAAUCUGAAGCAGGCUCCAGGCUCUGAGCUGUCAGCACAGAGCCUGAUGUGGGGCUAGAACUCAUGAACCACGAGAUCACAACCUAAGCUGAAGUCUGACGCUUUACCGACUAAGCCACCUAGGCACGCCCUGAGUAUUUCUAUAAUAGUUUAACUUACUCCCAGAAAAAAGGCUCAGCCUUGGGAGAAUCUGUUUCUUAAGGAUGAGAUUUUUCUCAAAACUCCUCUUUCAUGAUGAAGAUUCAGAUGAAAAUUUUCUUAUUCGAAUGUGUAGCCUGAGCAUUGUUUCAGUGAUCGAUAUAGGCUCAAACUUGGGGUUACAGAAAUGGGUCAGGGUAGCGGAAAGAUCUAGAAGUCUGGGUGAUGGUACAGCCUUCUUGAGAAUCUCUGUCAAGAAAAUCACUCUUAAAUUGUGUUAGAUGUCAUUUCAUCCUCAUCUGGAAGUAACUUAGUUCCUCUGAUUUUUUGGCAAAAAUUGGUCCUGGCUAUAUUUUCCGUAUUUGUCACUUUCCUUAUAGAAAUAAAGUCCUUGCUACUUGGGUCAUUUCUGUCAAAACUAAACAAUUUCUAGGCUAGUAAAAAAAAAUGGAGUAUUACUGUUUUAUGGACCAAUUUGUAAAACUGUCAACUUUCUAGAUGGUAUUUUUUUAUUUGUGGAUUUUUCUCAGAAAACCCCAUGACUUGAAACAAUAUUUAUUAAUUUAUUUUUUUACAGUUCAUUUCAUACCUUUAACCCCCCCCAUGAUAUCCUUGUGACUAUAUACAAUUCAUCCAGUUUCUCUUAUUCUUAUUUCAAAGAGCAAAGGGGAUAAAGGUGGUAGAAUGGCUUAAGAAGAGUCAAGUUCUGGGUGGCUCAGUUGGUUGAGCAUCUGACUUUUUGGCUCAGGUCAUGAUCUCACGGUUCAUGAGUUUGAGCCCCACAUCAGACUUUGUACUGCCAGCGCAGAGCCUGCUUUGGAUUCUCUGUCUCCUCUCUCUGCUCCUCCCCUGCUCUUGUUUUCUUCUCUCUCUUUCAAAAUAAACAAAUAAACAUUAAAAAAAGAAAGAAAGAAAAGUUCUGGGAGAAAUUGGAAAUUGGAAGACACCACUCAAUUAUUGGUUUAGGAAAAAUGCUUCCAAAUCCUUGUUUGAAUGGCAGGACUGAAUGUGAAAUUUGGGAGGUGUUCUAAUCCAGAUAGUUUUCUUAUUCCUUGCAAGUCUACGUUUUCUUCUUUUCUGGAGGAUGGAGACAGAAAAUGAGAGAUAAAAACUUAGUCUUGAGUUAGCUUCAUAUUGUACAAUUACUCUAUUCCACCUAUGUUUCACAUAUAUUGCUUCUCAUAAUCACAAGGUAGCAUAUUUGAAUAUACAAAUGAACAUCACCAUCUAGAUAAAAACAUUACAGUUUCAAAGCUUGGGGUACAUAUGCAAAAAACUGUUGCCCUGUAUAGGGGUGCUCAAGAUGAAGAUAACCUUGACAUUGUUGUCCUUUCUGCGAGGAACUUGUUCAAUGCCUAGGUGUGCACUUUCCAUGUACCUAUAAAGUCUGGACCAUUUCUUUUUGCCUUUUUUUCCCCCUUUCUGUUUUCUUCUACAGUAUUAUCCAACAUGUGUUCUGUUUUCCUUUUCUUAAUUUUUUUUCUUUUUUUUUAAGUAGGCCCUACACCCAACAUGGGGCUUAAACUCACAACCCUCAGAUCAAGAGUCUCACGUUUUACUGGUUGAGCCAGCCAGGCAGCCUCAUUUUCUUUGCUGUAAUUCUCUGUUCUUUGGUUGGCAGAUAAUUUUAUAAACUAAAAGGGUUUGUAAUAAAACUUCUAAUAGGAUGAAUGGAGGGUUUAGAUACUUGCCCAGAAUUUAUCUUUACCUUUUGAUAUAAGAAAAUUGGAUUAUUAGUUUGAUUGAAGGGAGGAGUUUUGUUAUAAUAAAGGUUACAUGAAGGAGGAGAGGCAAAAAUGAUGAGGGUCUUGUUUUGUCUUUCUACUUCAUAUAAUGGAAUGGGUUUGAGUUCACUUAUUAAUGGGUCCCUGGUCUAAAGUUGCUAUAAUUUCUUUAAAUGUUUGUUUAUUUAUGUUGAGAGAGAGAGAGAGAUCACAAGCAGGGAAGGGGCAGGGAGAGAGGGAGAGAGAGAGAAUCCCAAGCAGACUCUGUAUUGUCAGUGUAGAGCCCAAUAGGGAGCUCAAACUCACGAACUGUGAGAUCAUGAUCUGAGCCAAAAUCAAGACUUGGACUCUGAACCGACUGAGCCCCAUUUUUUUUUUUUUUCUUAUAAGAGGCUUCAGGGAUUCUGUGUCCAAGCAGUGGUAUUUCAGGCCUACAUGUCAGAGUAUGGCAUAGAAUAGAAGAGAGGGAAGUCUCUAAGCACUGUUUUGGCAUCUUUGGAAUUGACAUCUUGGAAAAUUCUCUGCUCUUCCAUGGAUACUGCCACUCACAGGGUGGGUGUGGUCAGCAGUUGCUGACGAGAAGCCCAGAACACCUAUGGAGGCAGUUGGCAUAGAGAGGGAGAACAUGACAAUUUUGUGUAAGGGCUACAGUUGACAUGUUGGUUCGUGAGUACAUGUGAGGCAUUCCAUUGGCAGUAACAGGGACUGGGGAAUGUAUUUAAAAAUUUUUUUAAUGUUUAUUUUUAAGAAAGAGUGGGGAGGAGAGGGGUAGAAGGGCACAGAGAGAGAGACACACAGAAUCUGAAGCAGGAUCCAGGCUCUGAGCUGUCAGCACAGGGCCUGAGGCAGACCUCCAACUCACAAACCAUGAGAUCAUGACCUGAGCCAAAGUAGGACGUUUACCCCACUGAGCCACCCAGGCACCCCAUGACUGGGGAAUAUUUUAAGCAUACCUGAGAACCAUUAAAAUUCAGGAGUCAAGUAAUUUGUUAUUUUUGUGAGGGAAGAGUUGGUCAUACUCAAGUUACAUGUUAAUUCAUAAAGUCUGGUGAGUGUCCAGAACUGCGAUGGUCUGAAAUUUUACCCUACUUGCAAACUAACAAGUCAGCCCAUGACAGUUUCAUAGAUACUGGCUGAAGAUAUGAGACUCCUGGGUGGAGACAAAAGACUUUAUCAUUUAUAGCUGAGCAGGCAGAGCUCCACAAUCUCAUUGGUUCCCCUAGACCCCAUGUCCCAUAGGAUGAUGCAGAGGAGGCCCUAGGGGAAUAUUAUGCAUGCAUUGGGCUUAUGUCACAGUUGAGGAAUGUCAUGCUUAGGAAACCCCAAUUUUUAAAAAAGGGCUAUUGGCAAACCUGACCAACCUUUGCCUUGGAGGGAGAUGUUAUCUUUCUUAAAGUGGUCAGAAAACAAAUCUGUCCUCUGUUUCAGAGGAAAACUGACUCUAUCUUCCAAGGCUAUUUGCUAUUCAAACAUCCUUGACAAGAUGGUCUAGGGAAAAAACUGUCAGUGCCUCUGUUCUGAAAACUUGCAUGAAGGUAAGAGACCCAUGAAGAAUCCUCCCCAAAUAUGUUCCAAAGACCCACAUUUUUAUAAUUUUUGGAGGUAAAUGAUGCCUGAAGUCAAAGGAAUAAAGCCAAUUAUGAUAAAGCAAGAGGAAUAUUUUGGGGACAUGCCAGUUUUUUGUUCACCAAGUCAUACCCACUGAGGCUUUUCCUCCUGUGACCUGUAACUUGGAUACAUUUUCCAGGGGAGAUACCUCUUUUAUUGUUACCUAAACUCAUCUGGCAUGGAUGCUUAGGAUCUGUCCACAAUGCUAAUAGAUUUCAGCAUUAGGAUGCAAAGGAAAGUCUUCAGAUGAAAUGUUCCAGUGUCCAUUAAAGAGUAGUGACAGGGACCAGAAGAUAUCUUACCAUAUCCUGUCACUGUAUAAUAUGCUAGAUUGCUUCAGCCGAUUAACUAGGGAGUAAUGAAAAGUCUGUGUGUGAGUGAGUGACUGUAUGUGUGGUGUGUGUGUGUGUGUGUGUGUGUGUGAGGAGAAGGAAGAAGGCAGAGGGAAAGAGGGGAAGAGGGGAAAAGAGAUGGAGAAGAAGAGGGAGAGGGCUACCAAUCACAGCUUAUAUUGAGAAAGAGCAUGUGCACUUAUAUGUUUUGACACUAUUGGGCUAGUGUCGUUCACGUGAAAGGCAUUUUUAAAGCUUUAAACUUAUUCUGUUAUACUUUCAAGACCUGUGAAUGAUAACCCAUGCUUUUUGUAUGGUGAUUUUAUUUGGUAAACAUGGAAUUAGCCUUAGAAACAAACCCCCUUAAUUCAGACAUCGAUUAAGUCGAGGGCUCAGUAAUACAGAGUCUGAAAGAUUUUGUAGGUAGGUAGAAGAAAAGAAGUCAGUCUUUUAAUUACAUAUUUGAAAACAAAGUGAAAGAGGGAAAAUGAUAAAUAGUUUAUAGGAAGAGGCUUUUAGGCUUUUUCAAAGCUAAUUUGUUGGGAAUUCUUUGGCUAAAUUGGAAUAAAUGUAUUAUCAGAGAAGCUCUAUCGAGCACAGUGUGAUGGUAGCUUAAUCUGACUGUGACUGUAUCUCACAGAUCACUGUACCCAGUCAAUACUCUAUUAUUGCAAGUUAAGUGGUUUGCUACAGUAUUCCACACACAGGGUAUUAGGAGCUCUGUUCCCUAAUUUCCUAAGCAAUAAUGGUAUAAGCAGUAUGCAUUUUUUAUUAUAAAAACUAACAAUUGCCUCCACAGAGUUAAUGGUUUUUUAUAUACUGUUGGUACCCAGGAGAUUCAGUCAUAAAUCAGAGCAAAAUUAAAUGUAAAAUGUACUAAAUUUUGGCAGAAUUAGAUUUUCUUUGCAGAGGCUGAAGUCUUCAGUUUUCCUUGGAAUCAAACUUUGGUUUUCUUCCUGGUGCUUUUAUUUUCAUUUUAUUUAAAUGAGUGUGUUGUUUCCUGAUUAAAAUUGAUUCUGAAUAAUUAUACCAACAGUAAUUCACAGCAUGAGCCUGGGCAGCAUUCUUUAUAGCUCCUGGAGGCUGUCUUCAUCCAGCUUUUCUGAGCUUGCCAGUUUUUCAGUGUUAACUAUAUUCUCUGCGCAACAGGGUUAUGAACCACCCAACAAAGACUGUAGAGUGCAGGAUCAUUCCUCCUUUCAAAUGGCUGCUGUUUUUACAGGUUGGGGACUCUGCGCAGGUCAGAAUUUACUUGGUGAAUUGCUUAUUUACUCAUUUCACAGUAAAUAGUAGGGAAGAAAGGACAGUGGUUUGGGGUGCCUGGGUAGCUCAGUCGGUUAAGCAUCUGACUUCCGCUCAGGUCAUGAUCUCAUGGUUUGUGAGUUCGAGUCCCACGUCAGGCUGUGUGCUGACAGCUCAGAGCCUGGAGCCUGCUUCAGAUUCUGUGUCUCCUUCUCUCUCUGCCCCUCCCCCACUUGUACUCUGUCUCUCUCUCUCUCUUUCUCUCAAAAAUAAAUAAAUGUAAAAAAAAAAUUAAAAAAUAAAAGGGCAGUGGUUUCUCUUCAUUAAGAUACUUGGUUAGGAUUGUUAGUUUCCAUGUAUCAGGAGCUGGUGGCCCAGGAAGGAGGGGGGGAGAAGUGGGUUACUCAGAAGGCACGUGAGUGUUUGGUUCAGACUAGAGGUAGAAUUAGAGCUACUGGUGGGUGAUAGGAACAGGAUGUUAAAAGUCAACACAGUCAAGCUUACACUCUAAUCUCUCUUAGAGGUCUCUCUUUUGCUCUUGCUUCGUUUUUCUUUAUGCCAUUGGACAUUUUCCUGCCUAUUUCCAUUUGUGCAGAAUAUGGUGGCAUCACAGGGUCCCAGACUGCACAUUCUCAUUCUCAGUGACCAUUCAAUCCCACUCACUAGGCCAGAGUCAGGCCCAAAGGCCUUCAGGAGCUGGGCCACAUUUCGGUUAAUAGUGAGUGAUGGGACAGUGGCAAUAUGCAGAAUGCAGUUCUUGCUUAAAAGCAUUCAAAUUAAACAAUAUUAAUGGCAAAACUAAACAUAGCCACAGUCUGCAGACCAAAUGUAGUGUUGAGGCUACAUAUAAGAUCCCUUGACCAGUCUUUAUUAGACCAUUUCCCAAAUUCAUGGGACACCUAGCUUUGUCGGCAGAGAUGAAACUAAGAUGAGGCAGUAAGGCCUUGGGUGUAAAAUUUAAGGUGAUGCCCAAAAAUAUCAAUAAUACAGAUAAAUAAUAUUUCAAUGUAAUGUUUUUGUUUUUUAUUGAUUUUUGUUUUUUAGAGAGAGACCACGUGAGAGGAGGGAGGGGGCAGAGAGAGAGAGAGAGAGAGAGAGAGAGAGAGAGAGAGAAUCCCAAGCAAGCUCCAUGCUCAGCGUGGAGCCUGACAUGUGGCCUUAUCCCACCACCCUGGGAUCAUGACCUGAGCCCAAAUCAAGACUCAGAUGCUCAACUGACUGAGCCACCCAGGCACCCCUCAAUGCAAUGUUUAAAAAAAUACAAAUUAAUACAAAAAACUCCAUGAUGAACAAAAUACAAAAUUAUAAAUAUAGACAGGAUCACUAUUGCUGAUUUUUCCUUUUGCCUCAAGCUCCAGCCAGUAUGUCUCACAACAGCAUGGUUCACUAGGUGUCUACUCAUAAGCCAGUCAGUUAUGGACAGGAGAGGAGUCCCAUCAAUACCCUGUGGGUGGAGGAGUCAGUUGUCAACAGUAGGGAUAUGCGCCAGGCAAGCAGAUCCCAAAAGAUGUCUCUAAAGGAUGUUAGAGCAUGAUACUUUGUUCUGGGAUACAGACUUUAUUAGUCAGCUGGCCAUAACACAAUACCAUAGGCUGGGUGGGAAUCUAAGAUCAGGGUGCCAACGUGUUUGGCAUGAUUCUGGUGAGGACUCUCUGGCUUACAGAUGACUGCCUUCUCACUGUGUCCUCGCAUGGCCUUUUUUCUGUGUAAGAAUGUGGGGGCAGAGAGAGAAGCCUAGCUUUCCUUUCCCUAUCUCUCCCUAUAAUCCUAUCAUAAGGGCCCCACCCUCAUGACCUCAUCCAACGCUGAUUACCUCCCAUCUUCACAUACCAUUACGUUGGGGUUGGGGGUUCAACAUGUGAAUUUUGAAGGACAUGAACAUUCAGUCCAUAACAGCGCUACAUAUUAGGGAUGUGCUCCAAAUAUUCUUAAUUCCUCUUUGUAGUCUUCCUUGGACUUCCUAUGUAUUAAUUACUCCUUACUUUUAAAUUUUUUUUUUCAACGUUUAUUUAUUUUUGGGACAGAGAGAGACAGAGCAUGAACGGGGGAGGGGCAGAGAGAGAGGGAGACACAGAAUCGGAAACAGGCUCCAGGCUCUGAGCCAUCAGCCCAGAGCCCGACGCGGGGCUCGAACUCACGGACCGCGAGAUCGUGACCUGGCUGAAGUCGGACGCUUAACCGACUGCGCCACCCAGGCGCCCCUAUUACUCCUUACUUUUAAAAAAUCUAGUUAUCUUUUGACAAUCGUGCCCAAUAUAAACCCAGUAAAGUAAGUUAAGAUUUUGUCAUUGACUUCUUAUUCCAAGUUAGUUGCCACAGGAGUAUCGUUUUACAAAGCUGAAUUAAUCAUUAGAAGAAUGACUCAGAUUUAACUAGAAGAUGAAGUUUGGGUGCUUAACCAUUUCUGAAACUCCUGGGACCUGACCAAUAAUUACACUUCCCAUCCGUAAGAAGACAGAAACAUUUAGCAUAUGGUUUUUCUUUUCCAUAUAAAAUCAAUCAGAAUAUGUCACUUUAUGGCUUAGUGUAGUUAGUCAAAAUGUUGUGCCUAGUUCUUCUAAAUGUAAAUCUCCUAAAGACAUUUUUCAGAAAGUUCUGUCAAAUUAUUAAAUGACAAGAAUGUUGGUAGAGAAAAUAAAUUCCUUUAGACGUCUUAUAGGAACUAAAGAAUUAAGAAAUUCUUUUUUUCUUUUUAUCUUCCCCCCCAUCUCCUUAGGGUUUUUUUUUUUUUUCCUGGUUUUGAUGUUCAAACACCAUAUUGGAAAACAUUUAAACUGUGAAUAUAAUUCUGCAAACACUUUGAGCCAUGACAAUAUCUGUCCUGGGCAACCUCAUAUCAAGCUGGCAAAACAGAUCUUGGAAAAAUGGGGAAGUAUUUUUGUUUUCAGAAUGCUUUAUAUGCAAUUCCCCAGAAACAGUUCAAAAAGAUAGAUACUCUUUUCUAAAAGGUUGCUGUUUUAGCACUUCCCAACUUAUAAAGGUUGGAAUUUCCCACUGGCUCAGCGGAGAGAUUUGUAUCAGUUAUUUUAGAUUCACUUAAUAGCACAUUUGUGUUUGAGAUGAAGUGUGAGUCCCAUCAGACAAGUUAAGAUUGUUCUUAAAAAUUGGCCUCCUUCUCCCUCCCCCCAUGUAUACUCAGAUCUAAAGUAGAGUCUUCCAAAUGUUAUUCCACAGCUAGGUAUGACAUCCUAUCUUAAAACAGCAGCAAUAGCUGCUGUUUCUUUUUGUAGAGAACAUGGCUGGGUAUAUAGCAAGUGAAUCUGUCAAGACCGGUGAUUUUUCAGUUCUUUAAGUGAAGCCUUGAUUAUUCCCCCCUCCCCUGCACCGUACUGGUAUAGAUGGAAGUGAGGAAGGUGGUAACACAUAGAAAAGUACCUCCAAUGUUUGUACAAAAUGCAGUAACACUUGCCUAAUCACCUGUGACUUCAGUAUAGUUAUUGCAUUUUGUUUUUACUUCUGCAUUCAUCAUGUUCUAUCCUUUUAUUUUCCCUCCUGCUUGUCACCUUAUUAUGUUUUUUUUUUAAUUUACUUUUUUAGAGCAGUUUAAGGUUCAUUGUAAAAUAGAGGGGAAGAUAAAGAGUUUUCCCAUAUACUCUCUGCCCCCAAACCUGCAUAGCCUUGCCAUUAAUUGAUGAACCUACAUUGACAGAUCAUAGCUACCCAAAGCCCAUAGUUCACUCUUGUGUCACUCUACGGGUUUCGAUAAAUGUAUAGAGACAUGUUCAUUAUAGUAUCAUACAGAGUAUUUUCACUGCCCUAAAAAUCUGUGCUCUACCUAUUCACCCUUCCCUGCCCACCUUAAACCUGGCAACUGCUGAUCUUUUUACAUGUAUUAUACUAUAGCUUUUUCCAGAAUGUUAUAUAGUUAGAAUCAUAGCAUACAUAGCAUUUUCAGAUUGGUUUCUUUCACUUAGUAAUAUGCAUUUAAAGUUCCUCCAUGUAUUUUCAUGGCUUGAUAGUUCAUUUUGUUUUGCCACUGCAUAAUAUACCAUUGUCUCAGUAUACCACAUUUUAUCCUUUUACCCAGUGAGGAACAUCUCAGUUGCUUGCAAGUUUUGGCAAUUAUGAAUAAAGCUUCUAUAAACUUCAUGCGCAGGUGUUUGUGUGGAUGAAAGUUUCAAGUCCUUUGGAUAAAUACUAAGGUGAGCGAUUGCUGGACUGUAUGGUAAAAAUAUGUUUAGUUUUGUAAAAAACCACCAAACUAUCUUCCAAACUGGCUGUACCACUUUACAUUUGCACCAGCAAUGAAUGAGUGUUCCUAUUCAUCCACAUCCUUAUCAGCAUUUGGUUUGGUUUUGGAAUUUGACCUUUCUAAAUAGGUGUGUUGUGGUAUCAGGUUCUACCUUGUUUGGCUCUUAGGUUUUACCUUCUCUGCUAGUUUACAUGCUUCUUAAAGGCAAGGGUUAUGCACAUCUUUUUAUCUUCAAUCACUCCUUGUGUAAUCACUUGCAUGUAAAGUUCACUCAGAAGUGUGCCAAAAGACUGAAGAUGCUGAAUGUGUUUGAAUUGGUUACAAGUUCAGUUACAAGGAAAGGAAUCAUUUCUUGAAUAAAUAUGCCAAGCAUUUGAAAUACUUGCACUUUUCCUGUUAAUCCUCACAAUAGUCCUAUGAGAAAGACAAAACUAUUCCUACUUUGCUAAAAAUGGACAAACUGAGUCUUAAAAUAGUAAGUAAAUUACCUACCAUCAGUAGAGUCAGCUAGACCCAUGGUUCUAAACCAGGUCCAUUGGCCUAAAGCUUCAUUAGGCCAUUAGGAUGGGCUGCGCCUGCAAUUAGAGCCAAGAUCCCAAUGUUAGAUGCCCAUGGGGCCAGGUAGACAGGGUAGGAUGCUGGUCAGGGGGGAGGGGUUGGGGUAAAGAAGUGGGCAGUCUCUACUUAGCUGUAACCAACUAUUAAACAUUUUUAGAAACAGGAAUCCAUAAAUCUGGAUUUUGCAAAAUCUUCCAAGUUUUAUAUUUUGGCACCUAAUUUAAUAAUAAUACUUGUAAAAGUUAAUAUAGGUCUGUGGGCCAGAUUUAGGCCACAAAAGAAAAGUUUCUAGCUGUUGUAUUAAAGAGUAGUUUUUAAAAAAAAAAUUUAAUGUUUAUUUAUUUUUGAGAGAGAGAGGGAGAUAGAUAGAAGAGAGAUGGGGGGUGAGUGGGGGAGAGGCAGAGAGAGAGGGAGACACAGAAUCUGAAGCUAGCUCCAGGCUCCAAGUUGUCAGCACAGAGCCGGAGGCAGGGCUCAAAUUCCUGAACCUUGAGAUCAUGACUUGAGCCAAAGUCGGACACUUAACUUAUUGGGCCACCUGGCACCCCUUGAAGAGUAGUUUUAAAGGGUUGCAACUCCUUUUCCCCAAGUAUGUAUUGUGAUCCCAAAUGAUGUAAAGUAUUGCCUGUCAAGAAAAAUUUAGAGAGCUGUCAUUAAUAGUUUACUCUUUUGUUGGUAGGUAAAAUGUUCACAGAUAAUACUUGUUAAGAAGUAGUUACCUGUCUACUACUCAGUGUGGAGCCCAGAGUGUGAAUGACGAUGGUUACUAUUUUACUUACUGUAGUUGAUAUGAAGUUCUGAUCUAGAACUUCGUGAAAAUAAUAAAAGCAUUUAUUGAGUUGUGAACUGAUGCUGCAUACUAAACUAUACAUAAUUUUCUAAGUAUUUUAUGUAAAUAUAUGCACUCUCCCACAAGAAAUUACAAAUGACAUGCAUAUGUAACCAUAUGUAGCUUUGGUGUUAAUUACUAGUUGCCCAUUAUGAGUAUGUAGAUGAAUCCCUUUGUUAGAAGCAGCUAGAGUGAUCUCUUGUUCUUCCUCUUGGAGUUUUCUAUCUAUUGUUUUCCUGAUCCAGGUCACCAGCCUGUUUUAUCUUUGUCACUGGCCCAGAGUAUUUGAGUCUCUCUUUUGACAUAGUGUUGAUAGGAUAAUCACAGAAAAAUUCUAUCUUUCUGUUACAUCUCUUGCAGUUUGCAUCUGCACAGAGUUUAGUUGAAUUUUUAUGCUUUAACAAUGUUUAUUCCUAGCAGCUCUUUCAGGACAUGCUGCAGGGAGGUGAAGUUCCCUCACUGUCAAUGUUGGCCUCUAAAUGUCCCCAUUGGGCACUCCUUUAGAGAGAGAGAUUUGAUGAGACUCCAUGAUUUCUAUGUAGAAAAAUAGAAUGUCUUCUAGGGUGCUGCUAAGGCUCAGAUUUGUGAAUAUGUUCUUUAAUGAUCAUGCCCCACCUUUCAUUGUAAAUAUGUCUACUUUCCUAUUGCAAGGAUAUUUCUUGUCCCUGUAUUUUUCAAGUUUCCCUGCUCUUUAUUGUUUUCAUUUUUUAAUUUCUUUAAUGUUUGUUUUUAAGAGAGAGAGAGAGAUAGAGCAUGAACAGAGGAGGGGCAAAGAGAGAGGGAGACACAGAACUCGAAGUGGGUUCCAGGCUUUGCAUGGUCAGCACAGAGCCCAAGGCAGGGCUCAAACUCACAACCUGUGAGAUCAUGACCUGAGCUGAAGUCGGACGCUCAAUGACUGAGCCACCCAGGCGCCCCUCAAAUCUUCCUGCUCUUUUAAAAUGGUGCUGUGUUCAUUUACUUUAGUCCUGCUUCCCUCUCUUCUGCUCUUCUUGUUUUGCUCUUCCAGAGAAACCACUUUAGUUAUUUUAACUUAUUUUGGAAUUUAACAUUAUGCUUCUAAAUAACAUGCUUUUAUUGCUAUUUGUUGAUUUAAAAAUUUUAAGUGUUAUCUAUGCAGUUUCAAAUAAGAAAGCUCAAGGAAGAUUUAGCUCUAUUUCAUGCUUGAUCCCUACCACAAAAUGAAAUCGUAUUUUUCCAAUAAAUUUAGUUGAAAUUUGUUAGAUUGGUAUUCCAAUAUGCAAUGUAUAUAUUAUUAUGGCUUUAUAGGCACUGUUCACAAUCAAGCCAUUUAGUAUGCUCUGAUGUAUUUUUCCUAAUGUUCUGAAAUUUUCACAUUGAUGUGUUUUGAUGUACAUUUAUUUUCAUCCAUUUUUCUGGUAACUUAAUAUACCUUUUUAAAUUUGGAAGCUUAUAUCCUUCCAUUAUGGGAACUUUCUUGAAUAAUAAUAAUAACAGUUCUUGUUUGGAUGGUUCACUUAUCUCCAUUUCUUUUAUUUUCUUAUUCAUUUAAUGAUGUUGGACCUCCUGGACUAUACCUCUAAUGUUAUUAUCUUUUUUUCCCUAUUUUCUUAUUUUCAGUUUCUAUAUCUUUCUGUUAUGAUUUACUCUUUCCUCCUUUGUCUCCUCUUAUGUUUUCAUUGGGUUUAGUUUGCUCUCUCUCUCUUUCUCUCUCUCUCUCUCUCUCUUUUUUUUUUCUAGUUUCCUGAAGUGGAAAGUUAGGUUGCUGACUUAAGGUCUUUCUUCUGUUUUAAUAUAGAUUUUUAUAGUUAUAAAUUUCCUUUCUUGUAUUACUUCAGCUACAUCCCAUAAAUUUUGGUAUGUUGUAUUUUGUUUUCAUUCAUUUUAAUGUAUUUUUCUAAUUUUCUUUGUGAUUUCUCUUGACCCAUUGGUCAUUUAGAACUCUAUUGUGUGAUUUCCACAUAUUAGUCAAUUUCUCUAAUGUCCUUCUGUUAUUGAUUUUUAAUUUCAUUUCAUUGUGGUUGGAGAACACGUUUUGUAAGAUAUAAAUCCUUAUACAUGUACUGAAAGCUGUUUUAUGGUCUAGCAUAUGGUAUAUCCUGGGGAAUGUUCCAUGAGCCCUUAAAUAAUUAUAUUUUUCUCUUGUUGGGUGGAAAGUUCUAUAGAUCUCGGCGUGGUCUAGCUGGUUAAUAGUGUUGUUCAUUUCUUCUGUUUUCUUGUUGAUAUUUUGUCUAGUUAUUCUAUCCAUUGCUGAAGGUGGGGUUUUGAAUCCUCCAACUAUCUUUGUUGAAUUGUGUAUUUCUUACUUCAAUUAUGUCAGUUUUGACUACAUUUAUUUUGGGGUUUUAUUAGUUGAAUAUAUUUAUAAUCAUGUCUUCCUGAUAGAUCGACUUUUUUAUCAUUAUAAAUUGUCUUUGUGUUUAGUGACAAUUUUAUCUUAAGGUUUAUUUUGCUUGAUAUGAGUAUCACUCUAAUUUUUUUAAUUUAAAUUUCUAUUUAAAUUUUAGUUAACAUACAGUGCAAUAUUGGUUUCAGGAGUAUAAUUCAGUAAUUCAUCACUUACAUACAACAUCCAGUGCUCAUCACAACAAAUGCCAAUUUAGGACCUGUCAUCCAUCUAGUCCGUCUCCCAUUCACCUCCCUCCAUUAACCCUCAGUUUAUUCUCAAUUGUUAAAAAUGUCUUGUGGUUUGUUUCCCUCUCUCAUCUUUUACACCUUCCCNGGAGAGGCAAAAAUGAUGAGGGUCUUGUUUUGUCUUUCUACUUCAUAUAAUGGAAUGGGUUUGAGUUCACUUAUUAAUGGGUCCCUGGUCUAAAGUUGCUAUAAUUUCUUUAAAUGUUUGUUUAUUUAUGUUGAGAGAGAGAGAGAGAUCACAAGCAGGGAAGGGGCAGGGAGAGAGGGAGAGAGAGAGAAUCCCAAGCAGACUCUGUAUUGUCAGUGUAGAGCCCAAUAGGGAGCUCAAACUCACGAACUGUGAGAUCAUGAUCUGAGCCAAAAUCAAGACUUGGACUCUGAACCGACUGAGCCCCAUUUUUUUUUUUUUUCUUAUAAGAGGCUUCAGGGAUUCUGUGUCCAAGCAGUGGUAUUUCAGGCCUACAUGUCAGAGUAUGGCAUAGAAUAGAAGAGAGGGAAGUCUCUAAGCACUGUUUUGGCAUCUUUGGAAUUGACAUCUUGGAAAAUUCUCUGCUCUUCCAUGGAUACUGCCACUCACAGGGUGGGUGUGGUCAGCAGUUGCUGACGAGAAGCCCAGAACACCUAUGGAGGCAGUUGGCAUAGAGAGGGAGAACAUGACAAUUUUGUGUAAGGGCUACAGUUGACAUGUUGGUUCGUGAGUACAUGUGAGGCAUUCCAUUGGCAGUAACAGGGACUGGGGAAUGUAUUUAAAAAUUUUUUUAAUGUUUAUUUUUAAGAAAGAGUGGGGAGGAGAGGGGUAGAAGGGCACAGAGAGAGAGACACACAGAAUCUGAAGCAGGAUCCAGGCUCUGAGCUGUCAGCACAGGGCCUGAGGCAGACCUCCAACUCACAAACCAUGAGAUCAUGACCUGAGCCAAAGUAGGACGUUUACCCCACUGAGCCACCCAGGCACCCCAUGACUGGGGAAUAUUUUAAGCAUACCUGAGAACCAUUAAAAUUCAGGAGUCAAGUAAUUUGUUAUUUUUGUGAGGGAAGAGUUGGUCAUACUCAAGUUACAUGUUAAUUCAUAAAGUCUGGUGAGUGUCCAGAACUGCGAUGGUCUGAAAUUUUACCCUACUUGCAAACUAACAAGUCAGCCCAUGACAGUUUCAUAGAUACUGGCUGAAGAUAUGAGACUCCUGGGUGGAGACAAAAGACUUUAUCAUUUAUAGCUGAGCAGGCAGAGCUCCACAAUCUCAUUGGUUCCCCUAGACCCCAUGUCCCAUAGGAUGAUGCAGAGGAGGCCCUAGGGGAAUAUUAUGCAUGCAUUGGGCUUAUGUCACAGUUGAGGAAUGUCAUGCUUAGGAAACCCCAAUUUUUAAAAAAGGGCUAUUGGCAAACCUGACCAACCUUUGCCUUGGAGGGAGAUGUUAUCUUUCUUAAAGUGGUCAGAAAACAAAUCUGUCCUCUGUUUCAGAGGAAAACUAUCACUCUAAUUUUUUUAAUUUAAAUUUCUAUUUAAAUUUUAGUUAACAUACAGUGCAAUAUUGGUUUCAGGAGUAUAAUUCAGUAAUUCAUCACUUACAUACAACAUCCAGUGCUCAUCACAACAAAUGCCAAUUUAGGACCUGUCAUCCAUCUAGUCCGUCUCCCAUUCACCUCCCUCCAUUAACCCUCAGUUUAUUCUCAAUUGUUAAAAAUGUCUUGUGGUUUGUUUCCCUCUCUCAUCUUUUACACCUUCCCGUAUGUUCAUCUGUUUUGUUUUUUAAAUUCCAUAUAUGAGUGAAAUCAUAUCAUAUUUGUCUUUCUCUAACAGACUUAUUUCACUUAGCAUAAUACACUCUUAGCUCUAUUAGUGUCAUUGCAAAUGGCAAGAUUUCAUUCUUUUUGAUGCCUGAGUAAUAUUACAUUAUAUGUAUAUAUGUGUGUGUGUGUGUGUGUGUGUGUGUGUGUGUGUGUGUGUGCGUGCAUAUAUAUAUGCAUGCCACAUUUUUUUUAUCCAUUCAUCAGUCGAUGGACAUUUGAGCUGUCUCCAUAGUUUGGCUAUUGUUGAUAAUGCUGCUGUAACAUCAGCAUGCAUGUACCCUUUCAGAUCUGUAUUUUUGUAACCUUUGGGUAAAUACCUAGUAAUGCAGUUGCUGGAUAGUAGGUAGGUGUAUUUUUAGUUUUUUGAGGAACCUCCAUACUGCAGACCUGCACUGUUGCUCUGGGGGAGGAUCUUGCUGUGUUUUGUCAUUUGCCGGCUCCUGUGAGGAAAGCAGUCACAUGACCAUGCAGUGGUUCAGAGUUUAUGGCAAAACAGAGCAGAAAGCCAGCAUCCAGCUUGUUGCCCUCCACCUGAAUCUCUGCUGCUAUGCCUGGGAAAAGUGCAGCACGUUGUCACCACCCUUCCUUCUUGUGAUGCAGGAGUCCUCAGACCAUGCUGUCACUCCUGGGAUUAUGCCUGCUUUGCCACCUUUAGGCCAGGCAUGUCCCCCAUGGUAGAGGACUUCUAGAAAUUCAGAUUUUGUGCUCUGCUGCUUAUAAUACUUUGCAGUAGCUUCUGUGAGCAGACUCCCUCCUCACUGCCUUAUCCAUAGCUAUAUCGCUCCCAAGUCAGCUCUUUGCACCUCCUACCUUCCCAGAGGAAGUUGCUUUUCUACUUGUAGACUUGCAAUUUUUGUUCUCUCCAACAUCCAGUUGCUUUCUUGGGUGUUUAGAAUGAUAACUAUCUAGCUGUUUUAAGGAUGUUUGAGGGAUGUGUUUUGGGAUGUUUUGAGGGAUGAGACAAGCUUAGAGUCUUCCUACUCCUCUGCCAUCUUAACUCCUUCUCAUCACUCUAACUUCUUUUGGUUACUCUUUGCAUUGUAUAUCUUUUACUGUCCUUUUACUUUCCAGCUAUUUGUGUCUUUGGCUCUAAAUUAUAUUUCUUGUAUCUCUUGAUCUGUCAAUCUCUGACUUUUGAUUGGAGUGUUUACGCCAUUUACAUUUAAUGCGAUCACUGGUAAGGUAAGAUUUAUAUGUGCAAGUUUGCUAUUUAUAUCUUUAUGUCUUUUGUCUUUUUGUUUCUCUGUUUCUCCAUUGCUGUUUUGCUUAGUGUUAAUUAGGUUUCUGAGUAUACCAUUUGAACUCUCUAAGGCUGCUUGUUUCCACUGCUCCUGUUUUUGUUAGACUCUUAUUUUCAGAGCUAUUGCAGAAUUAGGUAGAGGGUGAUGGGAAUAGGCUAAGGUAGAAUACCACAAACCUCAUUGUCCUUAUUGAGACUCAGAUGUUUUCAUUGAAUAAAGAAUCCUUGAAUUGUUUUAUAUCAUUGGUUAAUUUCUGAGUUCAGAAUAAGUUUGUCAGUUUUUGCCAGUGUUCCAUUGCUUUUAUGGGUGAGAAAAUUUUCAGAUAUCCUUUUUCCACCAUUACAGAAGUGCUUUCAGAGAUUCCUUGAAAUCUAUUUUCAAUUCUUUCUUUUGGCCAUACUUAUUCUCUAUUAUUAUUAUUAUUUUUAAAUGAAUGUCUGCUCUUGUUUCUUGUACACAAUGGCCAGGAUAUUUUAUCUCUCUGAGGAUAUUCACAUAAGUUAAAAAAUUUUCCCCUACAUUAUCUCUAUUUCUUCCAAUUUGCUUUAGCUUCUUCAUUUUGUCUUCUCUUCUAUGUUACAACUCUCUUCAGACAACAAUGGCAACUGUAGUAGCAGACAUUUAUUGAAUACCUACUAUGUGGUCAUCACUCUUCUAGUGCAUUAUACAUAUUAACUUACUCAAUACAUGUUAACUUAUUUCAUUCUUACAUUAAAUAUUAGAGGUGAGUAUUAUCAAUUCCUCAAUUUUACACAUGAAGAAGUUGAACUAUAAAGAAGGCAAAUAACUUGCCUAAAGUUACACAGUAAGAAUUGCAGAGUUGGAAUUCAGGUCUAGUCUAACUUCUACAUCCUCUUUCUCAGAUGGCUCAUCCUUAGGUUAUCUGUUUAUGUGUCCAGUGGAGCUAUGAACAUUCUGGUCAUAUGGGUGGGACUUAUUGACUAUGUAGGUGUCAUCUGUGAAGUAAAUUGGGUUUUUCUUGGCUUUUCUUAUUUCUACUUUAUAUUGCUAGCUUUUUCUUGUCUCCUAGUUAAUUAUCACUAGUCCAUUAGCUUUUUAUCCUCUAAAUGUUUUUUUUCUGUUUUUGUUCUCAUUUUUUUUUCUUUCUACAUGUAUGAGUUUAUGCCUUAUGGAGGAAAAAGGUUUACUAUCAUUUUAGUAGGGCUUUGGGAAAAGCCAGAACUAAAUGCAUGCUUUCAAUACACUGCCCUUUUAAUCAUUUGAAGCAUAUUUUUUUGAAAAAAAAUCUGUUAUCUGAAGUUCUUGGAAGUCUAGUCCUUCUGUUUAUCUGCUGAUUUAACAUGAAUACUAGAUUUUUCCUCUUCAGCUCUAUAAUUUUGUUUUGCAUGUGCAUCCUCAGUGGGAGCUUUAUCUAUGGGAUUUCUGUGUGAUUUAGGCUGAGUUUUUCUUCAUCUAAAUAAGUUUCUCAUUUUCUCCUGCUGGGUGCUCCAGGAUGUCUUUUUAUGUUAAUGUCAUGCCUUAGGAAUACAGGACUCUGCAAGGAGAGUGUAAAAUAAAACCAAACUCAUGGGAUUCUGAUUAAAAAUUUUUAGGGGGGUUCCUCCCCUCCUCAUGCCUGAAAUGUAGAAUUGCACCAACCUCCUCAUUACAUUUCUUUUCCAGUGAGAACACCAUUUCACUGAAAAUGCAGUCCUCUAAAGUUCCUGGAUUAAGGACGAGGGUCUCAUUUCCAGCUUUCUGCUUCUCAUAGGUUCCAGGUCUUAUGUAGUAUGUGGUCAGCUAUUAAAAUCAAAGCCCCUAGGCUGAGACCAGACCCAUCCCUUCCCCAAUCACCAAACCAGGAUAACAUGAUACUAUCUCACUGAGUUUUAUCUUCAUUUUUGACCUCUGGGUAUUUCCUGUACUUUUAUUUGAGUUCAGACAUGUAUUUAAAAGGAUAUUUGUGAUAUUUUAACCAGAAUAGCUAUAUGUUUUAUAGCAGAAGAUUUCAUGUUAGCUGAUCUGAUAUUGUUGCCUGAAGUCCUAAAAUUAACUUUUCUUGUUGAAUUACUUCAUGUAUACCCCAUGAAUGUUAUCCUCACUCUGAAAGUGUGUGUCCAUUAUAUCACUGCUAAGUCAAAGAAUGUAUUUUCCCCAGCUUCGUUGAGAUAUAAUUGAUAUGUAACAUUGUAUAAAUUUAAGGUAUAUAACAUGCUGACUUAACACAUUUAUAAGUGGCAAAAUAAUCACCAGCCACUAUAGUGUUAGCUAACACACCCAUUAUAUCACAUCAUUACCAUGUCUUUUUGUGGUGAGAACAUGCAAGAUCUACUCCCUUGGCAACUUUCAAGUAUAUAAUACAGCAUUAUUAACUGUAAUCACCAUGCUGGACAUUAGAUCCCCAGAACUUAUUCAUCUUAUAACUGGAAGUUUGUUCUCUUUGACCAAUAUCUCCCCAUUGCCCCUAUGACCUAGCCUCUGGUAACCACCAUUAUAGUUUCUGUUUCUGUAAGUUUGCCUCUUUUAGAUUCCACAUAUAAGUAGUAUAUAACAUUUACCUUUUUUCUGUGUGGGUUAUUACACUUAGGAUAAUAAGGUCUGUCUGUAUUGUUGCAAAAGGUGGGGUUUCCUUCUUUCUCAUGGGUGAAUAAAACUCCAUAGUAUAUAUACCAUAUCUUCUUUAUCCAUUCAUCCAUUGACAGACACUUAGGUUGUUUCCAUAUCUUGCCUAUUGUGAAUAAUGCUACAUUGAACAUAGGAGGGCAGAUAUCUCUUCCAUUCUUUUGGAUAAAUACUCAGAAGUGACAUUACUGGAUCAUGUGGUAGCUACAUUUUCAAUUUGUUUGAGGAAUCUUCACACUGUUUUCUACAGUGGCUGUGCCAAUUUACAUUUCCACCAUCAGUGUUCAGAGGUUCCCUUAUUUCCACAAACUUGCCAACACUUGUUCUGUCUUGUUUUGAGGAUAGCCAUUCUAACAGGUGUGAAAUGAUAUUUCAUUGUGAUUUUGAUUUGUAUUUCUGUGCUUAGUACUAUUGAGUGCCUUUUCAUGUUAAAGACUAUAUUUUUAAAGUAGCCUAAUGGAAUUUAUGACCAGGACAAUAGAGGUAAUAGUUUCUUUAUAUUUUGUGCUGGCAAGACCUAACUAGAACAUGACAUUGUGUUCUGGAUACUGCACUUUACAGAAUAUUAAUAGACUUGUGAUAUGUCAUGACAGGGACAGUUAGCAUAGUGAAACAUUGGGAUACUAUGUCAUAUGAGGAUGAGUAUUUUAUUUUAUUUUAUUUUAUUUUAUUUUAUGUUAUUUUAUUUUUAAUGUUUAUUUAUUUCUGAGACAGAGAGACAGAGCAUGAGUGGGGGAGGGGCAGAGUGAGAGAGGGAGACACAGAAUCUGAAGUAGGCUCCAGGCUCAGAGCUGUCAGCACAGAGCCUGACGGGGCUUGAACUCCCAAACCGUGAGAUCAUGACCUGAGCUGAAGUUGGUCACUCAACCAACUGAGCCACCCAGGCGCCCCAAGGAUGAAUUUAAAACACAGAUUUAGCUUGGAGAAGGGAAAAUUUGAGGGGGUAUGAUGAGUUGUGUUGUGGAACACCAAUUAGAUUUAUUCUUUGUAUCUCCAGAGGGCUUUAUUAUAGGCAGAAGUUAUAGAAGGAGAUAAAUUUUUUUAACAUAAUUUAUUGUCAAAUUGGCUAACAUACAGUGUGUACAGUGUGCUCUUGGUUUUGGGGAUAGAUUGCUGUGGUUUAUUGCUUACAUACAACAACCAGUGCUCACUCCAGCAAGUCCCUUCCUCAAUUCCCAUAACCCAUUUCCCCUUCACCCCCCCCCCGCAAUCAACCCUCAUUUUGUUCUCUGUAUUUGUUCUCUGAGUCUCUUAUGGUUUGCUUCCCUCCCUCUCUGUAACUAUUUUUCCCCCCUUCUCUUCCCGCAUGGACUUCUAUUAAGUUUCUCAAGUUCCACGUAUGAGUGAAAACAUAUGAUAUCUGUCUUUCUCUGAUAACUCAUUUCACUUAGCAUAAUAUCUUCCAGUUGCAUCCACGUUGCUGCAAAUGGCAUGAUUUCAUUCUUUCUCAUUGCCAAGUAGUAUUCCAUUGUAUAUACAAACAACAUCUUCUUUAUCCAUUCAUCAGUUGAUGGACAUUUAGGCUCUUUCCAUAAUUUGGCUAUUGUUGAAAGUGCUGCUAUAAACGUUGGAGUACAUGUGCCCCUAUGAAUCAGCACUUCUGUAUCUUUUGGAUAAAUUCAUAGUAGUGCUAUUGCUGGGUCAUAGGGUAGAUGUAUUUUUAAUUUUUUGAGGAACCUCCACACUGUUUUCCAGAGCAGCUGGACCAGUUUGCAUUCCCACCAAUAGUGCAAGAGGGUUCCCAUUUAGAAGGAGAUAAAUUUGGGCUUGAUAUGAGGGAAACUUCUUGCUGAAUUGAAGCAUCUGUGCAAGAAAAGAUAGCCCACCUUCCAGACGGGUGAUGACUUUCUCCUUUCUUCAUCACUGAGAGGGAUAAAACGUAAGUAGGCAUUAUCUUAUCUAUAAUAGUUAAGAUCUCAGACUCUGAAAUCAGAUUAUUUGAAUUCAAAUUCUGGCUUUAUAAUUUAUUAGCUUUGUUGCCAUGGCAAGCUAUUUAACCUCCAUGAGUUUCUCUUUGCCUAUCUGCAAAAUGCCAUCAUAAUGGUAACUGUGUCAUAAGGUCACUGAGAAAUUUAAAUGGGGUAAUACAUAUAAAGUUGUUGUGAUGGUGCAUGGCACAGAGUAAGCCCUAAAGAAAUGUUUAUCAAUAUCAUUAUCAUCUGCCAAUGAUAUAAAGGGGUGUCUAAAAUAAGAAGAAAUCACAGGACACUGGAGUUGUGAAUGCUUUAUUAGUUUCCCACGGCUGCUGUAACAAGUUACCACAAACUUGGUAGUUGAAAACAAUAGAAAUUUAUUAUUUCAUAUUUCCAGAGGCCAGAAGUCUGACAUCAGUUGUAGUGGGCCAAAAUCAAGCUAUCUGCAGGGCUGCAUUGUCUUUGGAGGCUCUAGGAGAGAAUCAGUUCCUUUCCUCUUACAGCUUUUGGUGGCUGCUAACAUUUGCUGGCUUGUGGCCACAUCAUGCUUUUCUCUGCUUCCAUGGUCACAUUGCCUUCUCUUCUGUGUGAAGUCAAAUCUCCCUCUGUCUCCCUCUUGGAAGGAUACUUGUGAUUGUAUUUAGGGUCCACCUGGAUAAUCCAGGACAAUCUCAUUGUUUCAAGGUCCUUAAUUUAAUCAUAUCUGCAAAGUUCUUUUUUUGCCAUAUAAGACAAUAUUCACAGGUUCCAGAGAUUAGGACAUGAAUAUCUUUGGGGGUCUAUUAUUCAGCUUACCACAGCAAUCUUUGUGGACGCCAAACUAUCUUCUUUGCUCUGAGAACACUCUCUACUACAUCCUGUGUAAAUGUCCUCCAGUUUCCCCUUGAGUAAUAUCAGUGUUAGGGAACUAAUAUCAUUGGCUGUUAGACUGUACUAUAAUAACUUUUAACCCCUUCCAAUUCUCAAGAAUCCAUGCUUUUGGAGUCAUUGUUUUUAAGUUCUUUUUGAGAUCUGGUUUUAUAUUUGUUUAUGGUCUCUUUGUACAAUGUGUAUAAAAAAAGAAUGUGCUAAAUUGAGGUCAAUUUACCCAAUCCAUGCCUGAACAAUUAUUGAGGCUUCAUAGUGACCUGUAACACUUAAAAUGAGGAAAGUAUAUCAAUCAAAAUUUUAUGUUUGCAAAUGUUCAAAACUAACUGAGUGAGGUGCCUGGGUGGCUCAGUUGGUUGAGCAUCCGACUCUUGAUUUUGGCUCUGGUCUUGAUCCCAGGGUUGUACGAUCAAGCCCCACAUUGGGCUCUGCACUGAAUGUGGAGCCUGCUUGGGAUUCUCUGUCUCUUCCCCCCUGCCCCUCUUUCCUGCUCUCUCUCUCUUUCUCUCUCUCUCUCUCAAAUUAAAAAAAAAAUAACUAAGUGACUAACGCAGUGAUAGGAAUUUAUUGGUUUAUAUACCAGAAAAACCCUGGAAUACAUAUAGCUUCAACUGGAUCCAGGUACUGAAAUGGUGACUUGGUUGCUCAGGAGUUGGUCUCUCCAUCUCUUAGUUCUGUAUGAAUUUAUUUAGCGAGCUAAUGCUAAGAUGACAAGAUGAUCACCAAUGACCCAAGCAACUGCUAUCUUCUUAGACAUCAGUGGAAAAAGCUUCAUUUAAAACAAAUAUUUCCAGGGGCACCUGGGUGGCUCAGUUGGUUAAGCGUCUGACUUUGGCUCAGGUCACAAUCUCACAUUCUGUGAGUUCGAACCCCAUGUUGGGCUCUGUGCUGACAGCUCAGAGCUUGGAGCCUGCUUCCAAUUCUGUGUCUCCCUCUCUCUCUGCCCCUCCCCUUCUCACGCUCUGUCUCUCUCGCUCUUAAAAAUAAAUAAAAUUAAAAAAAAAAUAUUUCUAGAAUUUGCAUUCAUUGGGCUAGGCCAACCUUGAAUUGAGCCAGCCUCAAUAAACUCCAGGGACAUUGAGUAAAGAAUGAUGGUCUCCCCUAAAAUAUUAAAAAGGCACUAUCAGCAAAAGGGAAAUAUUUGUUGGUCAGGCUACAAAAACAGAUGUACUAUGCAAAGCAUCACAUGUAAUAUGCAAAACAUUACAUAUGCUAUAUGUAAUCAUAGUUUCAGUGGUACGUUUUGCUGGAGGCUUAUGGAAUCAAUCCCAGCACUCUAUAGUUGUAUGUCAGGCUCUGUGUACAUUUGUUUGUUUAUAUUUUAGAUAAAAUUUACCAGAUGGGAGAAAUCCAUUGGUGAUGCCUAGCUGGCUUGGUGGAAGUGAUCAGAGGAUGUGGGUAAAUUCAUCUUUGAACAAAUGAAUUAAAUAUGCACAGUAAAUGGUUUAAUGCACAGCAGGAAAGUGGCGCCUAAGCGUUGGGGAAGAAAGCAAAGCCAGCAGAGCAGCAAGCCUCACGCAGUUACUCCUGUGGUCAGGUCUGAGAGGUGGCGAUAGCCAGGAGGCUAGCAGAGUGCUUUGUAGCACAGGGCUUGUCUGAGUGUGCAAUAUGUUACCUACAGCUGGGUCUGGCAUAAUCAUCCCUGACUAAUGGGAGGUGAGAGGAGGGGGUUCAAGUGCUGAAUAAAUAAAUUACUUAAUUACAUAUUAUCAGAGAGAAGAACAGAUGGUCAGCUUAGCCCAUCUCCUGAUGCCUUUGGCUUCAGAAUGGAGAGUAGAUCUCAUGAGACUGGAGCAGGUUGGGCUCUUGAUUCUCUUUAUCUGCUAGUCCUACCAGAGGUUCAUGGUGUUCAGGAAUAAACAGGCCUCAUUUCCCCAAGGCUGGAGGGCACUGGGUGCUCCAGUGCCCAUUCUGAACUAAAGCUGGGCAGGUCUAAACUACUCGGCAUUUUCUACUUUGUUAAUUUUGGCACCAGAUGGAGGCAAAAAUGCAUUUCAUUUCCUGUAAAAUGGUUGAAAAGUGAUUUUCAAUUGAGAAUCUAAUAAAAUGUGAAGGGGGUAGUUGAGCAUUUAUUUUAUGUGCUCAGGAGUAUCUCCUAUCAUGUCAGACCAUACACUUGUUUUCCUUGGCUUUCGAUGUCCCCGUGGAGAACCCACUUUUUCUGUGUACUGGUUGCUCUGGUGUCAGAGGGAAGGGUGGCUGAGGUUGGAUUCUGGAAGCACCAUGUUUGUUUUCAGAUGCCUCAGUUUGGCAUGGGAAGGUCUUCAGAGAGGGUGGCUGGUUCCCAAAUGCUGGUGUGGGGAUGGUUGCCAGAUUGGCUGCGUUGGAAUCACCUAUGUUGUUUAUUGAAGCUAUUUGUUCUUUAGCUCCAAGCAUAGAGAUUCUGAUUCAUUAGGUCUUGGAUAGGCUCUGGGAAUCUGUGUUUCUAAAAAGCUUUACAAAUGAUUAUGAAUUAAGUUUGGAGAUCACUGUAUCAUAUCAGUUGGGUGGCAGGAAAUGGAAAGUCUCUUUGAGAGGUUAUUAAAGACACUUUAAUAACCGCUUAUUUACAAAGGUGUGAGCAAGUUUAGGGGGAACUGUUAAGGGAUGAUGAGCCAUCCUAGCAGUAAUAGGAAAUAGGUGCAAGGGGAGGAAGUAGUUACCAGAACUUGGUGGGACUUAUAGCUGUAAGAGAAGACCCCUGCACAGGCACCAUGGACAGCCAUUGUCACCCCAUCCUCUGGCAGGGAGGAAAACUUCUCUCUCCUUUGGCCCUUUGAUCUCUUUCUGGUGCUUUUCAUUGGCCAGAUCCAUAGGGCCACGAGUCCAGGCGAUGCAGUCUAUAAAAGUCAGACUUCUGAGACACGAGACAAGAUGGAGAAGGCUGGAGAGUGGAACUGAAGGAGCAGAUAAAGAAUAUCUAGCACAUGUUGGUAUAGAUGAUAUUUUCUAGUUACACAUUUGUAUCAAUAUGGGAAUGGCAAAUAUGUGGAUGUGUUUUUGUUUACAGACACAUUUUUUUUGGGGGGGGGGUAUGAAAUUGCCUUCUCAGCGAUUUCAUCAUAGAGACCGGAAACUCUUAAGGAACAGGGCUGACAUCUUUAGAAUUAUCUUCCUGUGCCCUAAAUGGUUUAGCCAGUUAAUAUUCUUUCUCUGGAAAGGGCUGUAAGGAGAAUAUUUUGGAAUAUUACACAUUUUAGAGAAUGUUUUGAAAGUUGUGUACCUGGUUGGCAACUUUACAUUUAACAAUAUAUUUUUGGGAUGCUCUAUUCUCUCUUAUUAAGUUAUUGUGGCUCUAUCGUUCCAUAUUCUGUGAAUUUAUUUAUACUUUAUAGGAAGCUGUUUAUAUUUGUAACCAAUACGAUCUUCAUGCUGAAUAUGUCUCCUUAAAGAAACCACCUUUCUAUACUUCCUAAAAGAUUGAAUUUAGUUGUAUUGCUCUUUUUUUUCUUUUUGGUUUUAUGUCAGAAAUUUAUUUCACUGUAUUCGAAGCUUGCAUAAAUGCUUAUUUGUGAGUAUAAUGCCAUAUCAGAAGGAUUGGAUUAAUUUUGAUUAUAGUGUGUUGCCUGUGAAGAUUUGAGCAUAUCUUAAUAUAGCAGUAAAAAAAAAAAAAAAAAAACCAAACUUUAUAGGAACUGUCCAUGGAAUCCCUGGAGAUUUAUCUACAGCUUCUGUUUUAAGACUCCAGCUCCUUCCCCCCCAGUGAAGAAGUAUCUGGCAUGUAGAGUCUCCCUUCAUGAUGCAGACUAACAGCUCAAAGACAAAGUCUUCCACUACAGCUAUUCAUUAGGUCUCCUGUGUCUGGUAAAGAGGACAGUUCUGGUCUCACACCAAGGGAAUAAUAUGCAUACUGAUUGCCAGCAUCUUUUAGUACCUAAUGUGUCCUGGGCACUUGACAUACAAUUUAGUUCUUCCAGUUGCUCAGGAAGAAAGCUUUGGAGUAAACUUUGAAUUCCUUUUUUUUUUUUUCUUCACAUACCUAUAUAAAUCAACUCCAGAUUGUCUAUAAAACAACUCCAGAAGUCUCUACUUUCAAAAUAUAUACAGAAUCUGGUCACUUCUCACCACGUGCAAUGCAGGGUGCUAGUUCAAGUCACCAUCAUCUCUCCCCUGGAUUUGAGUAGUGACCUCCUAAAUGCAUUGCCUGUGUCUCUCCCUUCUCCCUUCCAUCUUUUUUUUUCUAUAGAGCAAGCAGAGAAAGGCCUGUUAAAGAUCAGAUCAUGUAGCUCUUCUAUUUAUAGCCUUCCAGUGGCACCCACCUCACAAAGUCAUUACCAUAGCUUCUAAGGUGGAACCCUAUCUUUUCUUAACUCUCUCUCUGACCUCAUCUCCUUUUGCUCUCCUCUCAUUAUAUCUACCUACAGCAUACUUCUGCCUUUGUAUAGGCCAUUCCUUCUGCCUAGAAUCCUCUUCCUCCAGUUUUUUACUCUCUUAUUUCAUUCAGGUCUCUUGAAAUAUGACCCUCUGAGAGAAGCCUUCUCUGAAUACUGUAUAUAUAGCAGCAACCAUUACUCUCCUUUCACCGCAUUGUGUUCUUUUUCCUUGUAUUACAUAUCAGCACCUGACAUAUUUACCUGUUUGUUUCUUCUGCACGCAAAUUAAAGCUUCUUAAAGGCUGAGACCUUUGAGGUCCCUGGUCUAUCUCUGGCACCUGCUUUAGUAAAUGGCACAUAGAUAGUGUUCAUCAAAUAUGGGUUAUGUAAAUGAGUGGAUUUAGGAGUAAAUCAAUUAUUCUUGGGGCGCCUGGGUGGCGCAGUCGGUUAAGCGUCCGACUUCAGCCAGGUCAUGAUCUCGCGGUCCGUGAGUUCGAGCCCCGCGUCAGGCUCUGGGCUGAUGGCUCAGAGUCUGGAGCCUGCUUCCGAUUCUGUGUCUCCCUCUCUCUCUGCCCCUCCCCCGUUCACGCUCUAUCUCUCUCUGUCCCCAAAAUAAAUAAAAAACGUUGAAAAAAAAUUAAAAAAAAUUAUUCUUAAGAAAUAUAUUAUCUAGCGUUUAGCAAAAAUAACUCAGAAAAUUUUCAUUUUAAAUAAUAUUAUAUUGAGUACUUACCUGAUACUUUGCUAAGCAUUUUAUCAGCCUUAUUGCCAAUGAAGGAUGUUUUGGUUUAUUGUGAAGGAGGGGAAUAUGCGUAUCACAUACACACACAUGUGCACGUGUACAUGCAAAUAUACACAUACAUAUAUGUUAUGUAUGAAUGUGCAUGUUCAUGUAUGUAUGCAUGUAUGUGAGUGUGUGGAAGAAUGUGCAUGCGCUUUGCAUGUGUGUGCAUGAGUAUGAGUAUGUUUGUGUUUAAAACUUUUCUUGGCCCAGGAAGGAGAUACCUUCCUACUCAAUACUUCAUUGGAAAAUCUCCAUCUUCUGUCCUAGGAGCCGGUGCCAAAGGUGGACAUGGAAGAAGGAGACAGUGGGGAUCUGCACAUGAAUGAAGAGACCUGACUGUGGAGUAUUAGAGGAUUUAUUAAAGGAUUGGACAGUUUUCCUUUAUGGUCUUUGUGAAGCCUCGGAGUUACUAACUGCCAGUGCACUAUGGUAUCACAAAGAUAACAGCCUUUACUAGAAGUUCAGUUUUCUAUUCCUACCUUGGAAAGCAGCUUAACAAACCCAAGUGGUCAACGUUUAUGGUACUCCUGUCUUUCUUCUAGGACCCUUUGAAAUAUAUGUCUUUUGAAUUUAGUUUUGCUGGAAAAAUCUGCAUCCAAUUUGAAUGAAAUUGAAUAUGUUUCAGGGCUCAAGCAGCAUGCCUUCCAUCUGAAGCAAAAUGGAGAUGAAUUUCAAUUAGAUGUUCCCAUUAUAAUCUGUCUCCACCUGUAGUUUUCCAUAAAAAUUGCUAGGAAGUGUGGUAUAAUGUAUGAUCAGGAUUUGCCCACUGGCAGCAGUGUCCCAUUAUCUUAGUAAAAAAGCACAAAAUAAUUAGUCUGAUGCAUAUAGAUAGCAGCUUCUUACAGCGAGUGACUUUAAUUGUGGUGAGUAAUAUAUACGGAGUUUGAAGUAUUAUAUAUUUCCCUCCCAAGAAGAUACCAAUUACUAAUUCAGUUGACAAAGUAACAAUAUUUCAGAAGAUUUAAUGCAAACUGAACAUUGUAGUCAAUAGCCACUGUAAAAUGUCCAUUUUAUGGUCUUAUUUUUGCCUGAGCUUAAUUUAUGGUAAUUUGGUAGUUGCAUAUAGCCUGGAAGUAUGCUGUUGGCUUGAAUUAGUACUUGGGUAUUGCAUAAAUCAUACUGAAUGUGUUGGCUUCAUCUAAUGCCCUUCUUUCUCCUA